UGGACAGGCUUUGAAGCUAUUGGUGCUCGGCGGUGUUCAGUCCAUUGAAAGCUCCUUUUGGACUAUGUGAAGCAUUGGCCAUCCAGAAAGUAUGAUUAGUUAAGCUUGAUUACUUUUUUUUCCCACAGCCAGAUCGUAUCGGAUCACCGGUAGCAUAGUCAACCGUCUUCGUGACGGAAGUCAGAUAUGAUCCUUUUCACUGAUGCUGAUAUCAGUCUUUGGCAUUUUCAACUUGGGCAAAGGAAGGUAAGUAGCUCAGGAAAGAAGUUCUAAGCAGACUCAUCGAUUAGGAAAAGAGAAACAUUCAAUCCCAUCUCAGCGAGCAGAUUAACAUGCUCUGAGAAAGUGCGCGAUCAUGUUACAGAAACAACUCGCCGUGCCUCUACAGAAGAGGAAGAAUAUA